CUAUUGGCUCACUCGUUAACUCCCUUAAAGACCCCUCGACUUUAGCCUUCAACGUGAGUCGGUCUACAGCGCCAGCAAAGAAGAAGAGCAAAGUGUUCUGCUUUCCCACAGAAAGAACCAGAUGAUUUUUCAUUGAAGAAAGCAGUAGAGGACUCAUAUUUUGGCCAAAAGCAACAGUUUAAGUUAAAAACAUCUUAAUUGAUGGAUUUAUUACAAACACGUUGUUCACUUCAGAACUGAUGGACUAGGUGUGGAUUACCUAUGGAUAAAUAUUAUGUUUUUAUCAGCUUUUGAAACUCUCUUUCUGGUGGCACCCAUUCACCGCAGAAGUCCACUGGUGAGCAAGUGAUGGAAUGCUAAAUUCCUCCAAAUCUGUCUGAUGAAGAAACCCUGCAUUUUGGAUAGUACGAGGGUGAGGAACCUUUCAGCAAAUUGUCAUGUUUGGGUGAAAAGUACUUUUGACUCGGAAAUUUAGCUGUAAUUAUAGCAGUUACGAAAUCAAGCAUGGAGAAGUGAAUAGGCUAUUUUGUAUGGCAGUGUGUGCAUAAGUAAAUCCCCAAAGGAGUCCUGUCCGUGAUCUAUUCUGUCCCCAGGAGACAAAAACAGAAUUGUGCACUCUAUGAGUCAGAGGGAGGUGCAAGUCAGGGGGUUUGAUUAAGACACGAAUGGACUCCUGAGCAAAGGUUAUAUUCCUCCCCGCAGCUACAUGUACUGACAGGUAUGCAGCGAAGAACAGAAACUUACAUGCCGGAGAAUUACAGUAUAUGCCUUUUUUUUGCAUUUAAUGCCAAGUUGAUUUUUGACACCCUUCUGUCACUCUUCUGCCAUUCAGUAGUGAAACAUAUAAAACUGAAAGGGCCAAGGUUUUCUAUGAAGUCUGAAGUUUCAUAACAUUAUUAUUAUUAAUGGAAACAUCUUGAAACUAUGUGUGUGAUAUGGACAGUAAUAAACAAAGAGCGUCUAGGCAUUCUGAA